rnacentral:rRNA from 1 species
UAAGGCAGCAGUGGGGAAUAUUGCACAAUGGGCGCAAGCCUGAUGCAGCCAUGCCGCGUGUAUGAAGAAGGCCUUCGGGUUGUAAAGUACUUUCAGUCGUGAGGAAGGUGUUAAGGUUAAUAACCUUAGCAAUUGACGUUAGCGACAGAAGAAGCACCGGCUAACUCCGUGCCAGCAGCCGCGGUAAUACGGAGGGUGCGAGCGUUAAUCGGAAUUACUGGGCGUAAAGGGCACGCAGGCGGUUAAUUAAGUUGGAUGUGAAAUCCCCGGGCUUAACCUGGGAAUGGCAUUCAAGACUGGUUAGCUAGAGUCUUGUAGAGGGGGUAGAAUUCCAUGUGUAGCGGUGAAAUGCGUAGAGAUGUGGAGGAAUACCGGUGGCGAAGGCGGCCCCUGGACAAAGACUGACGCUCAUGUGCGAAAGCGUGGGGAGCAAACAGGGAUUAGAUACC